GGGCGNAANGCGCGCGCAGGCGGGCUGAUAAGUUGGAUGUGAAAGCCUACGGCUCAACCGUAGAACUGCAUCCAAAACUGUCAGUCUAGAGUCUGGGAGGGGAAGAUGGAAUUAGUUGUGUAGGGGUAAAAUCCGUAGAGAUAACUAGGAAUACCAAAAGCGAAGGCGAUCYUCUGGAACAGUACUGACGCUGAGGCGCGAAAGCGUGGGGAGCAAACAGGAUUAGAUACCCUGGUAGUCCACGCCCUAAACGAUGAAUGUUAGUCGUCGGAGGCCUAGUGUCUUCGGUGAUGCAGCUAACGCAUUAAACAUUCCGCCUGGGGAGUACGGUCGCAAGAUUAAAACUCAAAGGAAUAGACGGGGACCCGCACAAGUGGUGGAGCAUGUGGUUUAAUUCGAAGAUACGCGAAGAACCUUACCUAGCCUUGACAUAUAUUAGAACUCUGCAGAGAUGCGGAGGUGCCUUCGGGAGCUUUUAUACAGGUGCUGCACGGCUGUCGUCAGCUCGUGUCGUGAGAUGUUGGGUUAAGUCCCGCAACGAGCGCAACCCUCGUCACUAGUUACUAACGGUUCGGCCGAGGACUCUAGUGAGACUGCCUUCGCAAGGAGGAGGAAGGUGAGGACGACGUCAAGUCAUCAUGGCCCUUACGGCUAGGGCAACACACGUGCUACAAUGGGCAGGACAAUGAGACGCGAUACCGCGAGGUGGAGCAAAUCUAUAAACCUGUUCUCAGUUCGGAUUGUAGUCUGCAACUCGACUACAUGAAGCUGGAAUCACUAGUAAUCGUAGAUCAGCUAUGCUACGGUGAAUACGUUCCCGGGUC
rnacentral:rRNA from 1 species